AGUGAACGCUGGCGGUAGGCCUAACACAUGCGAGUCGAACGGCAGCACAGUAAGAGCUUGCUCUUACGGGUGGCGAGUGGCGGACGGGUGAGGAAUACAUCGGAAUCUACUUUUUCGUGGGGGAUAACGUAGGGAAACUUACGCUAAUACCGCAUACGACCUACGGGUGAAAGCAGGGGAUCUUCGGACCUUGCGCGAUUGAAUGAGCCGAUGUCGGAUUAGCUAGUUGGCGGGGUAAAGGCCCACCAAGGCGACGAUCCGUAGCUGGUCUGAGAGGAUGAUCAGCCACACUGGAACUGAGACACGGUCCAGACUCCUACGGGAGGCAGCAGUGGGGAAUAUUGGACAAUGGGCGCAAGCCUGAUCCAGCCAUACCGCGUGGGUGAAGAAGGCCUUCGAGUUGUAAAGCCCUUUUGUUGGGAAAGAAAAGCAGCAGGUUAAUACCCCGCUGUUCUGACGGUACCCAAAGAAUAAGCACCGGCUAACUUCGUG
rnacentral:rRNA from 1 species